UGACAGCCUCCCCCAGUGACCAUGA
rnacentral:piRNA from 1 species